rnacentral:tmRNA from 1 species
GGGGAUGUACCGGUUUCGACGGGGGUGUGGAGGCGGGAUCAGCGGGCGGCGGCGCCUGACCGCCAUAAAACGGGCAAUUUUAUAAAUUAAAUAACAACAACACUGUUGCUAUUGCUGCCUAAUUAAGGCGGCCGUCCGACCCAGAAGGACCGCGAGCUGGGAAGGGCGUCGUUUAGCGGUAAAUGUGAGCGCAGUAAGCUUUGCCUGCACCACACAUCAUGAAGCUGACCUGACCUGACGGCGUGACGGUUUGCCGUCUGGAAGGGGAACAGGGAGGAAGACUCCCGCAAUAAUCGUCUGCGCCCGGAGAACAUCCCGUUUAAGCGCUUUCGGACGCGGGUUCAACUCCCGCCAUCUCCACCA